rnacentral:rRNA from 1 species
UACGAAAAGGACAAGCGUUGUUCGGCAUUAUUGAGCGUAAAGAGCGCGUAGGCGGCGCCACAAGUCACUUGUGAAAACUCUGGGCUCAACUCAGAGCCUGCAAGCGAAACUGUGGUGCUGGAGUAUGGGAGAGGUGCGUGGAAUUCCCGGUGUAGCGGUGAAAUGCGUAGGUAUCGGGAAGAACACCUGUGGCGAAAGCGGCGCACUGGACCAUAACUGACGCUGAGGCGCGAAAGCUAGGAGAGCAAACAGG